ACUCCUACGGGAGGCAGCAGUGGGGAAGUAUUGCACAAAUGGGGCACGCAAGCCUGAUGCAGCCAUGCCGCGUGUGUGAAGAAGGCCUUCGGGUUGUAAAGCACUUUCAGUGCGUGAGGAAGGUAGUGUAGUUAAUAGCUGCAUUAUUUGACGUUAGCGACAGAAGAAGCACCGGCUAACUCCGUGCCAGCAGCCGCGGUAAUACGGAGGGUGCGAGCGUUAAUCGGAAUUACUGGGCGUAAAGCGCAUGCAGGUGGUUUGUU
rnacentral:rRNA from 1 species